rnacentral:rRNA from 1 species
CGAUUCUGGCUCAGGACGAACGCUGGCGGCGUGCUUAACACAUGCAAGUUGAACGGUAUGACAUGGAAGCUUGCUGAAGUGUCAUAUAGUAGCGGACGGGUGAGUAAUGCAUGAGAAGCUGCCAUUGGGAGGGGGACAACAGUUGGAAACGGCUGCUAAUACCCCGUAUGCCGGAAGGUGAAAGGGAGCGAUCCGCCCGAUGAGGUGCUCAUGUCCUAUCAGCUGGUUGGUGGGGUAACGGCCUACCAAGGCGACGACGGGUAGCCGGCCUGAGAGGGUGAACGGCCACACUGGAACUGAGAUACGGUCCAGACUCCUACGGGAGGCAGCAGUGGGGAAUAUUGGGGCCAAUGGGGGCAACCCUGACCCAGCGACGCCGCGUGGGGGAAGACGGCCUUCGGGUUGUAAACCUCUUUUGUACGGGAAGAAGGAAGUGACGGUACUGUACGAAUAAGUCCCGGCUAACUACGUGCCAGCCGCCGC